UCGACCUCAAAUCAGGUAGGACUACCCGCUGAACUUAAGCAUAUCAAUAAGCGGAGGAAAAGAAACCAACAGGGAUUGCCUCAGUAACGGCGAGUGAAGCGGC
rnacentral:rRNA from 1 species